ACAAAAAGGAGUUCAUCAGGGGCAAGGAGUGGAAGGUUUUACACUGGCCGAGUCAUUCUCCAGAGUUAAACCCCAUAGAGCAUCCAUUUUACCAGCUGAAGAGGACACUGAAGGGAGUAACCCCCCAAAGCAAACAACAACUGAAAGAUGCUGCAGUGGAAAGCCUAGUAAAGCAUCACAAAAAAUGCACACAGCAAAUUUCUAGAGUUGAAAAAUCUGGAGUUAAAGCAAAAAGAGUGAAAGAGUUGAAUUUUUGAACCCUGACUACCAUUGUGUUAAGGACGACUACCAGACGGUGUCGUCUUUUGGAGUUGAUUCCAUGGGUGUUCAGGGACCUGCACACACAACCCCAGAGUUGCUCAAGAUAGUAAAAGUAGAACGUGGAAGAAAGAAGAAGUAUGUCAAAAUGGAAGAAGCAUGCUUCUCACAUUUUCUCAGUGCAGUUCAGCAGAGGUUUCUUAUCCCGUAGAGCACAGCACUGGAAGUCACAGACCACCAGGCCAUAGAAGUGGAUGAGGACGUCUUUCCUGAAGUUGCAACAAUCAAAGACAUGUUUUGUCAUCUAUACUGAUGAGGAGUUUGGUGAUGGCUCCAACCUGACUGACUCUCACUACGUGACUCACUACAUUCACUACAUGUGAAUGUGGAGCAAAUCCUCAACUCCAGGCCGGCAGGGAUGACUGUGAUAAAACAAUACAUAAAUAAAUCAAAUAAAACUGUC